rnacentral:misc_RNA from 1 species
GAUGAAGAACGUAGCGAAAUGCGAUACUUGGUGUGAAUUGCAGAAUCCCGUGAACCAUCGAGUCUUUGAACGCAAGUUGCGCCCGAAGCCAUCAGGUUGAGGGCACGUCUGCCUGGGCGUCACAUAUCGUUGCCCAAUGCCUAUUGCAGUGCAAUAGGAAUUUCUAGGGCGAAUGAUGGCUUCCCGUGAGCGUUGUUGCCUCGCGGUUGGUUGAAAAUCGAGUCCUUGGUAGGGUGUGCCAUGGUAGAUGGUGGUCGAGUUAGAACGAUACCGAUCAUGUGCAUGCUCCCCAAAAUAUGGCCUCUAUGACCCACACGCGUCUUUUGACGAUCAUGACGAGACCUCAGGUCAGGCGGGGCUACCCGCUGAAUUUAAGCAUAUCAAUAAGCGGAGGA